UUACGUUCAUAUCAAGUUGAAAGACCUAUUCUCGUACGAUCACCAAAGUUAAGGAACAUCGAGCCUGGUCAGUACCUAGAUGGGUGACCGUUUGAGAAUACCAGGUGCUGAAA